rnacentral:miRNA from 1 species
UAACUUUAUCUUUGAAUUCUCU